AGAUCAUUUGGAUUGCAAUGGAGAUGAGAAGCGCACUGCAUCUUUAAAUGAUUCUUCAUCCACCGCAUGGGACACAGGCUCUUGGAGGAAAUGAUUAUGGCAGUUCAUAGAUGAACUUCACCUGGCUCUCAGAGUACCAAAUCGCACUGGAACCGAUCAUUUUAGACGUCGUGUACUUGGCUGAGACAGAAUUAAAAUUGCGAAGUACAGAAUGGGAUGAGCUGGAUAUGAUCAAACGCUACUCCAGAGGAGAAGGACAACCUCGGGAUCAACUUUCUCAAAAGAGGAAAAUGUCAAGCUUAGGAUGAGCAAAGCUGGAUUGGUCAGAAGGACAAUUUCAGGGGAUCGCGUUUUUUCAUGAGGUUUGUGGAUGCUUUGGACGCUCAUGGAAAAACCAAAAGGAGAAAUCAGCCCAGUGAAAGGCAAUCAUUCAAGAUAACACUAAAGUUUACUCAGAGGUAGAAAACGAAUUAAACCAAGAGUGUACUUCAAGACUAAGUCGAGAGAAUAGCAGCGAAAAUUUGUCACCAAGAUAUAGGGCUGUUAUCAAAGCGAAGCAGUUUCUGCCAUUUUGAGCUGUUUGUAAAAUCGAAACUUCAACUGAAAUUUAAUUCUGGAAAAAAGAACCGUUUUUUCUUAGGAUAUUUCAUGUUCAAUUUUUUUGUGUCAGCUUUUUUCCUAAUUAACAUCGGUUUGAACGGUUUCAAUUUUCCCGCCAAAAGACUUAGAAAAAUUACGGGCGCCUAAAAUACGCAUGCGCCAAU